GACGUAGGGGGCCAGCGUUGUUCGGAAUUACUGGGUGUAAAGGGUUCGUAGGCGGUGCGGCAAGUUGGGAGUGAAAUCUCUGGGCUUAACCCAGAGGCUGCUUCCAAAACUGCUGUGCUUGAGUGUGGGAGAGGCGCGUGGAAUUGCAGGUGUAGCGGUGAAAUGCGUAGAUAUCUGCAGGAACACCCGUGGCGAAAGCGGCGCGCUGGACCACUACUGACGCUGAGGAACGAAAGCUAGGGGAGCAAACAGGAUUAGAACCG
rnacentral:rRNA from 1 species